rnacentral:rRNA from 1 species
GACGAACGCUGGCGGCGUGCUUAACACAUGCAAGUCGAACGGAAAGGCCCUGCUUUUGUGGGGUGCUCGAGUGGCGAACGGGUGAGUAACACGUGAGUAACCUGCCCUUGACUUUGGGAUAACUUCAGGAAACUGGGGCUAAUACCGGAUAGGAGCUCCUGCUGCAUGGUGGGGGUUGGAAAGUUUCGGCGGUUGGGGAUGGACUCGCGGCUUAUCAGCUUGUUGGUGGGGUAGUGGCUUACCAAGGCUUUGACGGGUAGCCGGCCUGAGAGGGUGACCGGCCACAUUGGGACUGGGAUACGGCCCAGACUGCUACGGGAGGCAGGAGUGGGGAAUAUUGCACAAUGGGCGGAAGCCUGAUGCAGCAACGCCGCGUGCGGGAUGACGGCCUUCGGGUUGGAAACCGCUUUCGCCUGUGACGAAGCGUGAGUGACGGUAAUGGGGAAAGAAGCACCGGCUAACUACGU